rnacentral:rRNA from 1 species
UACGUAGGUCCCGAGCGUUGUCCGGAUUUAUUGGGCGUAAAGCGAGCGCAGGUGGUUUAUUAAGUCUGGUGUAAAAGGCAGUGGCUCAACCAUUGUAUGCAUUGGAAACUGGUAGACUUGAGUGCAGGAGAGGAGAGUGGAAUUCCAUGUGUAGCGGUUAAAUGCGUAGAUAUAUGGAGGAACACCGGUGGCGAAAGCGGCUCUCUGGUCUGUAACUGACGCUGAGGUUCGAAAGCGUGGGUAGCAAACAGG